AAAUGAAGGAGAAGAAAAGGCAUUAAAGCAAAAAAAAAUAAUGGAAAGAAAGAAGAGUUAGUAAUCACCAGCGCAAGUUUGCUAGUAUUGUUCACAAUUCUGCACUUUAUUAUU
rnacentral:ribozyme from 1 species